UCACAUUACUCUGUUCAAGCUGCGUUGAG
rnacentral:piRNA from 1 species